GCCGCGGGAGCGGCGGCCGCAGCGGCCGCGACUUCAUCCGGGUCCCGCAAGCUCACUGGAAGGUCCGGAAGUGCCGCCCCCGGGAGCCGCCGGCGCCAGUGGUGGAAAACAUCGGUUCAUUUGCAAAUAGUGAAAGGCUCCCAGGAAUUAGAGAGGG